rnacentral:rRNA from 1 species
UACGGGGGGGGCAAGCGUUGUUCGGAUUCACUGGGCGUAAAGGGUGCGUAGGCGGUGAGGUAAGUCGGAUGUGAAAUCUCCGAGCUCAACUCGGAAAUGGCAUUGGAAACUACCUCGCUAGAGAGUUGGAGGGGGGACUGGAAUACUUGGUGUAGCAGUGAAAUGCGUAGAUAUCAAGUGGAACACCAGUGGCGAAGGCGAGUCCCUGGACAACUUCUGACGCUGAGGCACGAAAGCUAGGGGAGCAAACAGG